UACGUAGGGGGCAAGCGUUAUCCGGAAUUAUUGGGCGUAAAGCGCGCGUAGGCGGUCUUUUAAGUCUGAUGUGAAAGCCCAGGGCUCAACCGUGGAGGUGCAUUGGAAACUGGAAAACUAGAGUGCAGAAGAGGAAAGUGGAAUUCCAUGUGUAGCGGUGAAAUGCGCAGAGAUAUGGAGGAACACCGGUGGCGAAGGCGACUUUCUGGUCUGUAACUGACGCUGAGGUGCGAAAGCGUGGGGAGCAAACAGG
rnacentral:rRNA from 1 species